GACCUCGGAUCAGGUAGGAGUCCCGCUGAACUUAAGCUUCAAUACGCCCUGAGG
rnacentral:rRNA from 1 species